GAUGAACGCUGGCGGCGUGCCUAAUACAUGCAAGUCGAGCGAACAGAUGAUGAGCUUGCUCCUCUGACGUUAGCGGCUGACGGGCGAGUAACACGUGGAUAACCUACCUAUAAGACUGGGAUAACUUCGGGAAACCGGAUCUAAUACCGGAUAAUAUAUUGAACCGCAUGGUUCAAUAGUGAAAGACGGUUUUGCUGUCACUUAUAGAUGAAUCCGCGCCGCAUUAGCUAGUUGGUAAGGUAACGGCUUACCAAGGCAACGAUGCGUAGCCGACCUGAGAGGGUGAUCAGCCACACUGGAACUGAGACACGGUCCAGACUCCUACGGGAGGCAGCAGUAGGGAAUCUUCCGCAAUGGGCGCAAGCCUGACGGAGCCACGCCGCGUGAGUGAUGAAGGUCUUCUGAUCGUAAAACUCUGUUAUUAGGGAAGAACAAAUGUGUAAGUAACUAUGCACGUCUUGACGGUACCUAAUCAGAAAGCAACGGCUAACUACGUG
rnacentral:rRNA from 1 species